AACGCACCUUGCGCUCCUUGGUAUUCUGAGGAGCAUGCCUGUUUGAGUGUCAUUAAAUUCUCAACUUCAUCACUUGUGUUGAAGCUUGGAUGUGGGGGUUGUGCAGAAUGCGUAACGGUGGUCUGCUCCCCUUAAAUGAAUUAGCGAGUUCAAACUGAGCUCUGUCUAUUGGUGUGAUAAUUAUCUACGCCGUGGAUUGGACUUAGACUUGCUUCUAAUCGUCCGCAAGGACAAUACUUUGACAAUUUGACCUCAAAUCAGGUAGGACUACCCGCUGAACUUAA
rnacentral:misc_RNA from 1 species